UACGUAGGUGGCAAGCGUUGUCCGGAUUUAUUGGGUUUAAAGGGUGCGUAGGCGGUCUUAUAAGUCAGUGCUGAAAUAUCCCGGCUUAACCGGGAGGGUGGCAUUGAUACUGUAGGACUUGAGUAGAGUUGAGGUUGGCGGAAUUGACGGUGUAGCGGUGAAAUGCGUAGAGAUCGGGAGGAAUACCUAUGGCGAAAGCAGGCUUCUGGGCCAUCACUGACACUGAUCUGCGAAAGCUAGGGGAGCAAACAGG
rnacentral:rRNA from 1 species